GAUGAACGCUGGCGGCGUGCUUAACACAUGCAAGUCGAACGGAAAGGCCCUGCUUUUGUGGGGUGCUCGAGUGGGGAACGGGUGAGUAACACGUGAGUAUCCUGCCCCUGACUUUGGGAUAACGUCAGGAAACUGGGGCUAAUACCGGAUAGGAGCUCUUGCUGCAUGGUGGGGGUUGGAAAGUUUGGGCGGUUGGGGAUGGACUCGCGGGAUAUCAGCUUGUUGGUGGGGUAGUGGCUUACCAAGGAUUUGACGGGUAGUCGGCCUGAGAGGGUGACCGGGCACAUGGCGACUGUGAUACGGCCCAGAGUCGUACGGGAGACAGCAGAAGGGAAUUUUGCACGAUGGAGCGAAGCCUGGUGCAGCAACGCCGCGUUCGGGAUUGUAGCCUUCUGGUUGGAAACCACAUUGUCCUGUAAGUGUGCGUGAUUGACGGUAACGAAUGAAUAAGCACCGGCUAACUACGUG
rnacentral:rRNA from 1 species